rnacentral:rRNA from 1 species
UACGUAGGGGGCGAGCGUUGUCCGGAUUUAUUGGGCGUAAAGAGCGUGUAGGCGGCCAGGUAGGUCUGCUGUGAAAACUCGAGGCUCAACCUCGAGACGUCGGCGGAAACCAUCUGGCUAGAGUCCGGAAGAGGAGAGUGGAAUUCCUGGUGUAGCGGUGAAAUGCGCAGAUAUCAGGAAGAACACCUAUGGCGAAGGCAGCUCUCUGGGACGGUACUGACGCUGAGACGCGAAAGCGUGGGGAGCAAACGGG